rnacentral:rRNA from 1 species
UACGGGGGGAGCAAGCGUUGUUCGGAUUUACUGGGCGUAAAGGGCGCGUAGGCGGCCACCGCAAGUCGGUUGUGAAAUCUCCGGGCUUAACCCGGAAAGGUCAAUCGAUACUGCGGGGCUAGAGUGCAGAAGGGGCAACUGGAAUUCUCGGUGUAGCGGUGAAAUGCGUAGAUAUCGAGAGGAACACCUGCGGCGAAGGCGGGUUGCUGGGCUGACACUGACGCUGAGGCGCGAAAGCGUGGGGAGCGAACAGG